rnacentral:ribozyme from 1 species
AGCAAUACUCCACUGAUACGGGAAUGGAUCCGAAGCCUCCAGAAGGCUAACAUAGGCUCUCCGUUCAGCCCGCGGCUUCGAAAUAGUAGCACUUCAGGAGGUGCGCUGGAAAGGA